rfam:Tauraco erythrolophus contig42118, whole genome shotgun sequence.
CCAAAGGCUCUUUUAAGAGCCGCCCAUGUUUUCUUUAGAAGAGUUG